CAGGCCUUUGGCGGCACCCCCGGAGGGGGCCGGCCUGCCGAAGCAACUGUUCAGAGGUGGGUUCACGAUGGUUUAGGGGAGUCUUGCAACCCUUUAAUGUUCCGUAGGUGAACCUGCGGAGGGAUCAUUAAAGGGUUGCAAGACUCCCCUAAACCAUCGUGAACCCACCUCUGAACAGUUGCUNNUCGGCAGGCCGGCCCCCUCCGGGGGUGCCGCCAAAGGCCUGCCGAAGGUACCAAAACCAUUGUCUUUAGCAGGCCUCUCUGAGUAACGUACUUAAUAAGUCAAAACUUUCAACAACGGAUCUCUUGGCUCUGGCAUGGAUGAAGAACGCAGCGAAAUGCGAUAAGUAAUGUGAAUUGCAGAAUCCAGUGAAUCAUCGAAUCUUUGAACGCACAUUGCGCCCGCCAGUAUUCUGGCGGGCAUGCCUGUCCGAGCGUCAUUUCAGCCAUCAAGCCCCUGGCUUGUGUUGGGGACCUGCGUCCGACGCAGGCCCCGAAAACCAGUGGCGGGCUCGCUGUCCACACCGAGCGUAGUAGCUAACCUCGCUAUGGAGUGGCGCGGNGCGCCUGCCGUAAAACCCCCAAUUUUACAAGGUUGACCUCGGAUCAGGUAGGAAUACCCGCUGAACUUAAGCAUAUCAAUAAGCGGAGGAA
rnacentral:rRNA from 1 species